rnacentral:rRNA from 1 species
GAAAGUGGCGAACGGGUGAGUAACACGUGAGCAACCUACCUCACACAGGGGGAUAGCCGUUGGAAACGACGAUUAAUACCGUAUGAGACCACAGAAUCGCAUGAUAUAGGGGUCAAAGAUUUAUCGGUGUAAGAAGGGCUCGCGUCUGAUUAGCUAGUUGGAAGGGUAAAGGCCUACCAAGGCGACGAUCAGUAGCCGGUCUGAGAGGAUGAACGGCCACAUUGGAACUGAGACACGGUCCAAACUCCUACGGGAGGCAGCAGUGGGGAAUAUUGCACAAUGGGGGGAACCCUGAUGCAGCGACGCCGCGUGAGCGAAGAAGGUUUUCGAAUCGUAAAGCUCUGUCCUAUGAGAAGAUAAUGACGGUAUCAUAGGAGGAAGCCCCGGCUAAAUACGUGCCAGCAGCCGCGGUAAUACGUAUGGGGCGAGCGUUGUCCGGAAUUAUUGGGCGUAAAGGGUACGUAGGCGGUUUUUUAAGUCAGGUGUGAAAGCGUGAGGCUUAACCUCAUUAAGCACUUGAAACUGGAAGACUUGAGUGAAGGAGAGGAAAGUGGAAUUCCUAGUGUAGCGGUGAAAUGCGUAGAUAUUAGGAGGAAUACCGGUGGCGAAGGCGACUUUCUGGACUUUUACUGACGCUC